GGCCUUCGGGUUGUAAACCUCUUUCAGCACAGACGAAGCGCAAGUGACGGUAUGUGCAGAAGAAGGACCGGCCAACUACGUGCCAGCAGCCGCGGUAAUACGUAGGGUCCGAGCGUUGUCCGGAAUUAUUGGGCGUAAAGGGCUCGUAGGCGGUCUGUCGCGUCGGGAGUGAAAACCAGGUGCUUAACACCUGGCCUGCUUUCGAUACGGGCAGACUAGAGGUACUCAGGGGAGAAUGGAAUUCCUGGUGUAGCGGUGAAAUGCGCAGAUAUCAGGAGGAACACCGGUGGCGAAGGCGGUUCUCUGGGAGUAUCCUGACGCUGAGGAGCGAAAGUGUGGGGAGCGAACAGGAUUAGAUACCCUGGUAGUCCACACCGUAAACGUUGGGCGCUAGGUGUGGGAUCCAUUCCACGGGUUCCGUGCCGCAGCUAACGCAUUAAGCGCCCCGCCUGGGGAGUACGGCCGCAAGGCUAAAACUCAAAGGAAUUGACGG
rnacentral:rRNA from 1 species